ACGUUGAUAGGCCGAGUGUGGAAGCGCAGCAAUGUGUGAAGCUUAUCGGUACUAAUAGCUCGAUUGGCUUGAUCGU
rnacentral:rRNA from 1 species